rnacentral:rRNA from 1 species
CGCGUAGGUGGUAGUGUAAGUCUGGGGUGGAAUGCCGGGGCUUAACCCUGGAAUUGCCUUGGAAACUGCAUUACUUGAGUCAGUGAGGGGAGGGUAGAAUUCCUGGUGUAGCGGUGAAAUGCGUAGAUAUCAGGAGGAAGGCCUGUGGCGAAGGCGGCCCUCUGGUGCUGGACUGACACUGAGGCGCGAAAGCGUGGGAGCAAACAGGAUUAGAUACCCUGGUAGUCCACGCCCUAAACGGUGGGCACUAGGUGUAGGGCUCGUAAGGGUUCUGUGCCGAAGGGAACCAUUAAGUGCCCCGCCUGGGGAGUACGGCCGCAAGGUUGAA